UACGUAGGUGGCAAGCGUUGUCCGGAUUUAUUGGGUUUAAAGGGCUCGUAGGCGGUUUGUCGCGUCGGGAGUGAAAACCUCGGGCUUAACUCGGGGCUUGCUUUCGAUACGGGUAGACUAGAGGUAUGCAGGGGAGAACGGAAUUCCUGGUGUAGCGGUGAAAUGCGCAGAUAUCAGGAGGAACACCGGUGGCGAAGGCGGUUCUCUGGGCAUGAUCUGACGCUGAGGAGCGAAAGUGUGGGGAGCGAACAGG
rnacentral:rRNA from 1 species